rnacentral:lncRNA from 10 species
UUCUGGGGCUGAUUUAUUGUUUUCACUCACAUAGAAAGAGAGGCGUGUAUAGGUUCUGGGGCUGAUUUAUUGUUUUCACAUAGAAAGAGAGGCGUAUAUAGGUUCUGGGGCUGAUUCAUUGUUUUCACAGAGAAAGACAAGUGUAUAUAGGUUCUGGGGCUGAUUUAUUGUUUUCACAUAGAGAGGCGUAUAGAGGUUCUGGGGCUGAUCUGUUUUCACAGAGAAAGACAGUUGUAUAUAGGUUCUGUGGGCCUUUGGGGGUUCCCAUUCUCACUUCCUUUCUUAUGAGUGUGGUGAGCAUUGGGGUGUGGGGGUGAGUCUCAGGUUUUUGUUUACAUUCAAAUAUGUUACUUUUCUUUUGCUGCAGAGAUAUGCUAUGGUCCAGAAAUUUUUCUUAAGAUCCUUCAAUGAUCCUCUACUUUUUCACAAGUAGAGAUGGGUGUUUCAGAACAAGUACGGUACUGUGUGGCUAGUUGCUUCUACCACUGCUGUGAGCAUGGUCAAAAUUAACCAGGCCAUGCUUGGGUCACGUCAAACAAUGGGCUUACCAUAAGCCUCCCAUCGUCACUCUUAAAAAACACUCCAAGCCGAUAGCCCGUCAUGUUUGAAUUUGUAAAGGCAACUAACUUGGGAAGUUCUUUCUCAUCCAAUGUGAAAAAUUCCUUUUCUUCUUAAAUCACUAUUGCGUAUGUUUCAGCAGAGGUUUUUUUGUUGUUGUUGUUGUUGAUAACCUAUAAAUACAUACGGAGGCUUCUAAAAGGCCUUUGUGGUCCCUGGGGAGCCAUACUCUUAAUGCAACAAAAAUAGCACUUAAAAAAUACAUACAUAUAUAUAUAUAUAAUUAUUACAUGUAAAAAAUAGAAAAGGGAACAAAAAUUAGUUGGCAUGGUGGCAUGCACCUGUAAUCCCAGCUACUCAGGAGGCUGAAGCAGGAGAAUUACUCGAACCUGGGAGGUGGAGGUUGCAGUGAGCCAAGAUCGCACCAUUGCACUCCAACCUGGGUGACAGAGCGAGACUGUCUCAAAAAAUAAAAUAAAAAAUAAAAAAGGGAAAAAAAGGAACGUGUCCUCAUGCCUCUUUCCAGUCAAUUCCUGCUGCUCCCAGUACCCACCUCCUCAGCAAAAGGCAACCACUUUGCAGCUUGCACUUUUUUUUAAGGCAGAGUCUCUCUCUCAGUGGCAAGAACACAGCUUAUUGCAGCCUCAACCUCGUGGGCUCAAGUGAUCCACCUGCCUUGGCCUUCAGCUAGCUGCAGCUAUCCUUCUUCAAAAGGACUCAAUGGACCUCGGUUUGUGUAUCCAUACAUGAUGAGGAGGGAUGAGAUGGCCUGCAAAGAUCCUGCUUUAGGAAGCUCUGAUGCUCAAGGGGCCCACGUGGGCAAAUAAAUAUAAUGAUGUGCAUAAACCUAAACAUAUUUUUAUAAAUAACCAACCAAUAGUUCAUGGUGGGUAGCUCCAGUAAACAAAAAAGAAAAAAAGAAAAGAACCACGCAAGGGUACUGAGGGAGAGGCACCACAGACCAAUAAAUCCUUGCAAAAGAACAGCUGCUUUGGGCAGGCGCAGAGGCUCACGUCUGUAAUCUCAGCAAUUUGGGAGGCCAAGGUGGGCUGAUCAGUUGAGCCUGGGACUUCAAGACCAGCCUGGGAAACAUGGUAAAAUCCUGUCUCUACAAAAUAUAAAUUAGCAGGGUGGGUGUGAUGGUGUGUGCCUGUAGUCCCAGCUAUUCGGGAGGCUGAGGUGGGAGGAUGGCUUGAGCCCAGAUGUCGAGGCUCCCAAGUUCACGCCACUGCACUCCAGCCUGGGUGAGUGAGACCCUGUCUCAAAAAGAAAAAAGAAAAAAGAAAAGACACUUCUUUUUUUUUUUUUGAGACAGUCUCGCUCUGUUGCCCAGGCUGGAGUGCAGUAGCGCAAUCUCGGCUUACUGCAAGCUC